rnacentral:sRNA from 1 species
GCACCUAUGUUGUUUGGUUGCACCUGCUCAUCAACAACUGCAGCCAUUGUGUCUGUUUCUGUCUGUGUUCUGAGUUGGCGUGCAAUACGGUCGAUGUUAUCGUUGAACAGGAGAUUCUGAUUUCCUCGUGACCGUGUUUGCAUACAACGAGUACCAACUGGUGAAGCUAGUGAUCCGUAGUACCUAAAUCAAAACAGACAAACAGAAAUAACACAAAGUUAGUAACUUUCAGAAAUAAUGAAAAAGAACUUGAUCUUAAAUAUUCUGAAAUCUCAAAUAUAGCAAACAAACACCCAAUUGGCAACGGCGCCAAAUUGAUAAUAUAUUUUUAGUCAAUUAUUCCUAAAACACCAAUCAUGUCAUUGUAGUAUUUUAGGUGUCAAUCCAAAUGGGUGUGAUGCAAACAGAUGAGAUGUGAUCAGAAGUCUCUAAGUCAAGCCAAGCAAUAACAGAUUUGGGGUUUCUAACAGUCCUAAGCGAACAUGCAGAAAACAGAAGCAAUAACAGAAUUACUAAAAUCACUCGACCACAACAGGCUGAUGCCAGAAGUAGGAUGUGGUCGAGUAACAGGUCGAGUAACAGACAGGAUAUGAAACAGCUAUACUCGACUGCACAGUCUGUUGCCAGACACUGGGUGUGGUCGAGUAUACUGGUCGAGUGAUUGUAAAAACUAAGAAACAGGCAAUGAGAACGAUUAAGCGAUAACGAUAAAACAGAGAAAUAAGGUAGACGAGAAAUUCCUAAGGAUGGGGUAAUCGAGUAGAGUGGUGUCCUAGCCUAUUCGAAUGGUUAACAAGCGCAAUCAAGCUAUCCCUAGACAACAGGUUCAACAACAGAUCAAUCCACUCCCGUGAUAGAAAUCCUCAAGCAAAGCUAGCCCAGACUAAUUCCCAUUAACGGAAUCUAACUAUGCAGGCAAUACGAACAGACUGAUAAAGUCAAUAAACGCUCUAAACGGCCAAUCCCUUGGGAUAGAGACGCAUAUCUCAGGAACUAGUGGAUCAAGCAUUCCAUCGAACACCUUCUGGGUGCGGGAAUGCUUGGGAUCGAAUUCCAGUUGAUCAGAAAGAAAUAAGCAGUAAACGCAACUAGUCCUAAAGGGAUUCAAUCAAUUCUAAAACUUAACCAUUCUACAGACUACGGAUUCCACAACUACUCUAUCCCAUCCCUAAGAAUUCUAAGUCACUACUCAGACAGCAUGCUCAAAGACAUAAACGCAGGUAAACGAUAAUAUUGCAUAAGUAAAGAGAUAAAGAGUAGAGAAACAAGAUGACUAAUGAAAUCAAACGCGGAAUCUCAAUAACUUGGAAAAAUCGCGAACUACAGGUUGCAGAAGCAAAAGCGGCGUAGCAGAGUAAAACUGAAAAUAAAACUGAAGCAAAAACGCAAUGUCCACUAGAUGUUUUAGGACAGAACCCUAAAACAUCUAUUUAUACCAAACGAAAUAAAAUGAUAGUAGACGGGCCAAUAACCUAAUCGCCCGGCCCAUAGAGUGAUAAUGGGCCGAGAUGGGCUUCGUGAUCCGAUGGAGGUCCAGGCCGCUUCCAAACACUUUGUCUUCUCCUCUUUUCUUCCUUGUGCUCAGCUUGUCUGGUUGAGUGCGGAUUUGAGUAGACUGUGAAGACGUGAUCGAGUGUCCGGUCGAGUGAUGGUGAUGGUGGUGAGUGAUGAUACUUGACCAAGGGGUCGAGUAACGUGGUAGAGUGAAUGGUCGAGUGUGGUCAGGUGGUGUGGCGAAGCGGUACUCGACCGGGGGUCGAGUAAUGUCGUCGAGUGGCCUGAGCUGAGGUUACUCGACCUGGUGGUCGAGUGGACGGGAAGAAUGGCUCCAAAGUCACUCGACCUGGGGGUCGAGUAUGUGGGAAGAAUGGCUCCAAAGUCACUCGGCCUGGGGGUCGAGUAUGUCUUCUGGUUCUGGCUCGUUUCUUCCAAUUUGCUCGCAAACAGCUCCAAAUCACCUGAAAACAACUCAGAAAUGCAAUAUGUAUGCAAAGCUAUCCUAAUCAUGCAAAGUGUGCAAGAAUGAUGAGAAAUGAUAUAAAACAGUGAUGAAUGAUACGAAACUAGACUCAAAGUGAUGAUGAAUAGACACUGAAAACAUGCAAAUUAUAGACAUAUCAAAAA